rnacentral:rRNA from 1 species
AACCCAGCACCUCGAGUGGUCAGGAGGUUUAUUGGGCCUAGAGCAUCCGUAGCCGGUUGCAUAAGUUUUCGGUUAAAUCUAUGCGCUUAACGUAUAGGCCGCCGAAAAUACUGUGCAGCUAGGGAGUGGGAGGGGUACACGGUACUCGAUAGGAAGGGGUAAAAUCCUUUGAUCUAUUGAUGACCACCUGUGGCGAAGGCGGUGUACCAGAACACGUUCGACGGUGAGGGAUGAAAGCUGGGGGAGCAAACCGGAUUAGAUA